rnacentral:rRNA from 1 species
AGUGAACGCUGGCGGUAGGCCUAACACAUGCAAGUCGAACGGCAGCACAGUAAGAGCUUGCUCUUACGGGUGGCGAGUGGCGGACGGGUGAGGAAUACAUCGGAGUCUACUUUUUCGUGGGGGAUAACGUAGGGAAACUUACGCUAAUACCGCAUACGACCUACGGGUGAAAGCAGGGGAUCUUCGGACCUUGCGCGAUUGAAUGAGCCGAUGUCGGAUUAGCUAGUUGGCGGGGUAAAGGCCCACCAAGGCGACGAUCCGUAGAUGGUCUGAGAGGAUGAUCAGCCACACUGGAACUGAGACACGGUCCAGACUCCUACGGGAGGCAGCAGUGGGGAAUAUUGGACAAUGGGCGCAAGCCUGAUCCAGCCAUACCGCGUGGGUGAAGAAGGCCUUCGGGUUGUAAAGCCCUUUUGUUGGGAAAGAAAAGCAGCAGGUUAAUACCCCGCUGUUCUGACGGUACCCAAAGAAUAAGCACCGGCUAACUUCGUG